rnacentral:rRNA from 2 species
UAGGGAAUUUUCCGCAAUGGGCGCAAGCCUGACCCAGCAACGCCGCGUGAGGGAAGAAGGUCUUCGGAUUGUAAACCUCUGUCCUUGGGGACGAAAAAAAUGACGGUACCCAAGGAGGAAGCUCCGGCUAACUACGUGCCAGCAGCCGCGGUAAUACGUAGGGAGCGAGCGUUGUCCGGAAUUACUGGGCGUAAAGGGUGCGUAGGCGGCAAAGCAAGUCAGAUGUGAAAUCCCCGGGCUUAACUCGGGGGGUGCAUUUGAAACUGCAUUGCUUGAGUGCAGGAGAGGAAAGCGGAAUUCCUAGUGUAGCGGUGAAAUGCGUAGAUAUUAGGAGGAACACCAGUGGCGAAGGCGGCCUGCUGGACAUUAACUGACGCUGAGGCGCGAAAGCGUGGGGAGCAAACAGG